rfam:Solanum tuberosum cultivar DM 1-3 516 R44 scf00001_84, whole genome shotgun sequence.
UUGAAGAAUUUGAAGACUUCAACUUGCAGACUUGAAGAAUUUGAAGACUUCAACUUGCAGACUUGAUAAAUUUGAAGACUUUAACU